GGCGCUAUAGCCAAGUGGUUACGGCGACAGAUUAGAAUCCCUGUAUUCUUUAUAAGGAUCUGUUCCUCUUUGAGGGCGCAGGUUCGAAUCCUGCUGGCGUCG